rnacentral:rRNA from 1 species
UACGGGGGGGGGCAAGCGUUGUUCGGAAUUACUGGGCGUAAAGGGCUCGUAGGCGGCCAACUAAGUCGGAUGUGAAAUCCCCAGGCUUAACCUGGGAACUGCAUCCGAUACUGGAUGGCUUGAAUCCGGGAGAGGGAUGCAGAAUUCCAGGUGUAGCGGUGAAAAUGCGUAGAUAUCUGGAGGAAUACCGGUGGCGAAGGCGGCAUCCUGGACCGGCAUUGACGCUGAUGAGCGAAAGCUAGGGGAGCAAACGGG